AUCUGUUUCCAGUUAGUUUUAAUUAAUUAAUUUUGCUAAGUGCUAAAUGUUUUAUGAUGGAGCCAGCCGUCACUUGUUGAACAGCACCUGAAUGGGGGAGUGAGGAUGAAGAAAAAGAAAGACGCAGAGAUAGAGUUGGGAGCCUCUCAGAGAGACUGCCGCUGCGCUUUUUUAUUCUCCUCCUUUUUUUUCACAGGUUUACAGAGCUCAGACUGUCCAGUGACCUACAGAUCACAGCUGUGUGUCGGAAAAGCAGCCCUGGAGACAUUCAUGUAUCUGCCCCGGAAUCUGAAACUACCUGUGCCUGCCUCUCUGACCACUCCCUGAAGCUCCUCUCUCAGCCUCCUUCCUGCAGCCCCUCAGCACGUGGUGUUUGGCAGUUGUCUCCAUCUUGGUUUGCUAGAUUUCCAAAUCAACCCUCUCCUUCCCCCAAUAGCUUCUCCAGGAGUCACCGACCUUCUCAAGAGGGGAAUUUGUGCUGAAGUCACUGUGCAUAAACAUAAGAUGGAUUGCUACUAUUUAAAUAUUUGAAACCUUUGAGGAAGUCAGAGAGCGUCACAGUCAGGCAGCCAUCUUGUUCAUGUUUACAAUCCCCGAAAAAGGUUUAUCU
rnacentral:lncRNA from 1 species